ACUCCUACGGGAGGCAGCAGUGGGGAAUAUUGCACAAUGGGCAGCAGCUGAUGCAGCCAUGCCGCGUGUGUGAAGAAGCCUUCGGGUUGUAAAGCACUUUCAGUCGUGAGGAAGGUAGUGUAGUUAAUAGCUGCAUUAUUUGACGUUAGCGAACAGAAGAAGCGACCGCUAACUCCGUGCCAGCAGCCGCGGUAAUACGGAGGGUGCGAGCGUUAAUCGGAAUUACUGGGCGUAAAGCGCAUGCAGGUGGUUUGUUAAGUCAGAUGUGAAAGCCCGGGGCUCAACCUCGGAAUUGCAUUUGAAA
rnacentral:rRNA from 1 species